GGCCUUCUUUGGGGAUAAUUUUCCUAUUCCUAUUUGUGGUCUUCUCUUUACCCCUUAAAUAAGUUCCUUUAGCACUUCUUGUAAUACUGGUUUCUUGGUGACAAACUCCUUUAAUUUUUGCUUGUCUGGGAAACUCUUUAUCUCUCCUUG